AAAGCGGGGGAUCUUCGGACCUCGCGCUAUAGGGGCGGCCGAUGGCAGAUUAGCUAGUUGGUGGGGUAAAGGCCUACCAAGGCGACGAUCUGUAGCUGGUCUGAGAGGACGACCAGCCACACUGGGACUGAGACACGGCCCAGACUCCUACGGGAGGCAGCAGUGGGGAAUUUUGGACAAUGGGGGAAACCCUGAUCCAGCAAUGCCGCGUGUGUGAAGAAGGCCUUCGGGUUGUAAAGCACUUUUGUCCGGAAAGAAAACCUCUUGGAUAAUACCUGAGGGGGAUGACGGUACCGGAAGAAUAAGCACCGGCUAACUACGUGCCAGCAGCCGCGGUAAUACGUAGGGUGCGAGCGUUAAUCGGAAUUACUGGGCGUAAAGCGUGCGCAGGCGGUUUGUUAAGACAGAUGUGAAAUCCCCGGGCUUAACCUGGGAACUGCAUUUGUGACUGGCAAGCUAGAGUAUGGCAGAGGGGGGUAGAAUUCCACGUGUAGCAGUGAAAUGCGUAGAGAUGUGGAGGAAUACCGAUGGCGAGGCAGCCCCCUGGGCCAAUACUGACGCUCAUGCACGAAAGCGUGGGGAGCAAACAGGAUUA
rnacentral:rRNA from 1 species